rnacentral:misc_RNA from 1 species
AACCAUAGAAACCUGCGGAGUACCUGCGGAGGGAUCAUUACAAGUGACCCCGGUUUACCACCGGGAUGUUCAUAACCCUUUGUUGUCCGACUCUGUUGCCUCCGGGGCGACCCUGCCUUCGGGCGGGGGCUCCGGGUGGACACUUCAAACUCUUGCGUAACUUUGCAGUCUGAGUAAACUUAAUUAAUAAAUUAAAACUUUCAACAACGGAUCU